GAUACAAGUGUAGGUCCUACUCUGAAGGACAUUGGUUUUGGGGACUCUGCUGCUCCAGACUGUGGGCAGUGCUGGGUGCGGCUGGUCACCCUGUGCCUGUCCUCUGCUCUCCCCUCUUUGGUCCUCUACCUCCUCUGCAGUCACAUGGUUUGUGCCAGAAAACACCCUGGCGUCUCUCAGGAAAAACAGACCUUUAUUACCGCAACAUGAGGAUGAAAACUAUAGCUGUGUAUUUUAUGCUGUGUUGCUUCUUCGUUUGCAGUACGAGUGGGCUUUGAGAGGCGGAUUGGUUAGAGUUCCUCCCUCCACAGCCCAACGCACACACAUAGACUCACUCACAACAACAAACAAACACACAGUCGUACACACAAACACACAUGAAUUGAAAUUCCCUUGUGUUUCAAGGUAUUUUGAUGCCUUGAAAUUAGUACAACUUGGAUUGAUUUACAAUAUGUUACACAGAAAACAUUGAAAUAUGCAUUUGUAUAUUGUUUUAUACCCAAAAGUAACCUGUCUAUUAUAUGUUUUCAUUAAAUGUAUAAACAAAUCAAUAAAAUCCAAAGAUGUUG